rnacentral:rRNA from 1 species
UCCAGACUCCUACGGGAGGCAGCAGUGGGGAAUAUUGCACAAUGGGGGAACCCUGAUGCAGCGACGCCGCGUGGGUGAAGGAGCACCUCGGUGCGUAAAGCCCUAUCGGCAGGGAAGAAACAGACGGUACCUGACUAAGAAGCCCCGGCUAACUACGUGCCAGCAGCCGCGGUAAUACGUAGGGGGCAAGCGUUAUCCGGAUUCACUGGGUGUAAAGGGAGCGUAGACGGCGACGCAAGUCUGGAGUGAAAGCCCGGGGCCCAACCCCGGGACUGCUCUGGAAACUGUGCAGCUAGAGUGCAGGAGGGGCAGGCGGAAUUCCUAGUGUAGCGGUGAAAUGCGUAGAUAUUAGGAGGAACACCGGUGGCGAAGGCGGCCUGCUGGACUGUAACUGACGUUGAGGCUCGAAAGCGUGGGGAGCAAACAGGAUUAGAUACCCCCGUAAAA